AUUCAAGGUACACAAAAGAAAUGCUGUAGUGGUAAAAUUUACUGGGGCAAGGAAUAAUUAUUCCACUUCACAUGGACAGAGCCAAGUCUUUAGGACAAUGCCAGCUGGGAAACUUUCCUGGGAUGAAAGAUCAAAGCAUCUACUCUGAAAACAGAGUGUGAAACAGUAAAGGACCAGCUUUUCAAAGGAGCUCUCCUCAUGUCCUUGCUCUACGAUUCACAGCUGAGUUUUCAGAGACAAGGAAUCAGGCCGCACUGAAAUCUGGAGCUGCACUGCUGACAUCAUCAAGGCCAUGUUUUCAUUCCAAGCAUGCUGAUCCCUUUGGAAUAAAUGCAUAUGAGAAGUACUGUGACAUCCCCGGUUCUUGAAAUUUCUUGAAAACACAAAGAUGUGGUGUAAAUGCCAGAUCUCCUUCCAACAAUUCUAACACUUCCUCUAUUUGAUUAAGUCUGUCUGUCUGCUUAAACACAGAAAGAAAUGUGUGAGCUAUAGUGUUGCGGUAGGGAGAGUUAAUAUGGUUAACAAAGGUUUAAGCAGUGCAGACAGAGGCAGGUAGGGAGCAGCGCAGUUUAAAUAUUUUAUAAUAAAUAUAUAAUAAUAAAUUAAUAAAAUAAUAAUAAAUAAAUAUAAAUAUAAGUAUAAAUUAUUAAAUAAUUUUCAAAUAGAAUUUGAAGACUUCAGAAGGAGUUAUAAAUUCUUCAAGAGCUCAAGCCUAAACUGUUAUGUUGUGAUGAACCUACUGUCCUUUUUGUUUGUUUGUUUAAGUGCAGAUUUAUUUUAUUCCUUGAUAACUUUGUGAAAGAAAGCAACAGGAAAACAUUGUCGUUAACAGUUGCAAAAUAAUUGAUUUGAUAUUAGUAAUAAUUCCAUGACUUGUAAAGUAUUUUUAUGAAUAACUUUUGACCCAUUCUAUUUCUCAGAUCACAUUGAUAUCCACAUAGAAUUCAGGAAUAAGCUUCUUACUCUGUACUCUUAAAUGUUCUGCUUAAUUACAUCUCCCAUAAUACCU
rnacentral:lncRNA from 7 species